UACGAAGGGUGCAAGCGUUACUCGGAAUUACUGGGCGUAAAGCGUGCGUAGGCGGUUUGUUAAGUCCGUUGUGAAAGCCCUGGGCUCAACCUGGGAAUUGCAGUGGAUACUGGCGAGCUAGAGUGCGGUAGAGGAUGGUGGAAUUCCCGGUGUAGCGGUGAAAUGCGUAGAGAUCGGGAGGAACACCCGUGGCGAAGGCGGCCAUCUGGACCGACAUUGACGCUGAGGAGCGAAAGCUAGGGGAGCAAACGGG
rnacentral:rRNA from 1 species